rnacentral:misc_RNA from 1 species
GUCAGUGCUUGUCAGCCGUUCGCAUUUUAGGAAGUGCAUCGAAUUUAUGGAAAAAAUGUUAUUUUGAUAUUUUUAUGCGAUUUCCGAAGUGUUUUCGUGGGAUGUAUGACUAACAACAUUCCUGGAAUGGUUAGUGUGCACAAGUGAACUAAGUUAAGUGACGUUGGGGAGGGCACGAGUUGUUUUAGAAAUCGGACCCUUGAAAGAAGUGGCCUCUAGGAAAGCUAAGGUUUUGACGCACGUGUAGUGUUUUGCUGCAUCUAAACUUCUCUUUAAGGAAAACAAACUGUUUUUUCCAGCGAUAUAAUUAUAAGGACGUAGAUUAUCGUUACUGAGUGUAUUAGAAGUCUUGUUCUUGUUAUUGUUUUGCUCCGUGUUUUUGACCCUUGCAUCCGUCCGUCGCGGUUCCCAGGCAGGCCCAUUAUACGUCGCGACAGAGGGAAGUUAGGCAGUUGAAACGAUCCGGAGCUACGUCCUUCAUGUUUCUAAUUUGACGUUUCAUUCUGUUUACGUCUCGAAUGGCGGCAUUGACGAAAUGCAAAUAUGUCCCCUUACCUCUAUGUAAAAUUAGAUGAGUUUUGGAUCCAUGAUUCGUCUUGCCGGUAUUUAUUUUCGGGGCAAAUUACUGGGCGGAAAGUGCAUUUAUUCUUAAGAAAUUGUUCUUGUCGAUCGUCGACUACCGGAGGUUAGUGGCCCUAGAGCACGCGGAAUUGUUUACUUUGUGAUAGAAUAGAUGCUUAAGAUGGUCCUGUAAAAUCAUCCCUUUAAUGGCAAGAUAAGUGGUUGUGGUCCAGACGACGAAGAGGUAUUUUGGCUAACCUUUUAUGUUUUUGAUCUCCCAAUGGCGUGGCAUAAACAGGACCACGUUAACAUGCUCAUGGAUAAAAACAAACCCAAAAUGCCAAUAUCAAUACCGAACAGCAGCGACCCACAGCAACAGCGACGCCAUGUUCCGUUAUAUGGGCGACUGGUCGCCGAUGACCCGUUGGGUGGCACGGUGUCCACCUCGGCCGUAUCAAGCGCGCCAUCUACGACUGAUAUCCAAGCGAUGCAAGCUCGAAUACCGCUUACAUUCCGAGACCCGGCUACGGCUCCCCUCAGAAAGCUCAGCGUGGAUCUGAUUAAGACUUAUAAACAUAUUAAUGAGGUAUAUUAUGCUAAAAAGAAACGCCGUGCGGCCCAAGUCCAAGGCGACGAUAGUUCGCAUAAAAAAGAACGAAAGAUUUACAAUGACGGUUAUGACGACGACAACCAUGACUAUAUCAUCAAGACCGGUGAAAAGUUCCUUGACAGAUAUGAAAUUGACUCCCUUAUUGGCAAGGGGUCUUUUGGACAAGUGGUGAAGGCCUACGACCACGUGGAGCAGUGCAAUGUGGCUAUUAAAAUAAUAAAAAAUAAAAAACCCUUCCUUAACCAGGCCCAAAUCGAGGUCAAGUUGCUCGAAAUUAUGAAUAAGGCUGACGCAGAGAAUAAGUAUUAUAUAGUAAAAUUAAAAAGACAUUUUAUGUGGCGGAAUCAUCUAUGUCUCGUGUUCGAAUUAUUGUCGUACAACUUGUAUGACCUACUGCGAAACACGAAUUUCCGAGGCGUAUCUCUGAAUUUGACGCGAAAGUUCGCGCAGCAGCUGUGUACGGCGCUGCUGUUCCUUUCCACUCCCGAACUUAGUAUAAUUCACUGUGAUCUUAAACCUGAGAACAUUCUCUUGUGUAAUCCGAAGAGGUCAGCGAUUAAAAUUGUUGAUUUUGGUAGCUCGUGUCAACUCGGACAAAGGAUAUACCAGUAUAUCCAAUCGAGGUUCUAUCGAUCGCCGGAGGUUCUUCUAGGCAUAUCAUACGAUCUGGCCAUCGACAUGUGGUCCUUAGGUUGCAUUCUAGUAGAGAUGCACACCGGAGAGCCGCUAUUCAGCGGAUCGAACGAAGUGGAUCAAAUGAACAAAAUCGUGGAGGUGUUGGGAAUGCCACCCAAGCACAUUCUGGACCAGGCGAACAAAACUCGAAAGUUCUUUGAGAAAGUCGCUAGCGAGCGAGGUAGUGGCAGCUAUCGAUACGUCCUAAAAAAAACUAAGGACGGCAAGAAAUACAAAAGCCCAGGUUCAAGACGGUUACAAGAGAUCCUCGGUGUAGACAAUGGUGGACCGGGCAGUAGGAGGGCCGGAGAACCAGGACAUGCGCAGUCAGACUAUCUUAAAUUUAAGGACCUAAUAACGCGAAUGCUUGACUACGACCCCAAAACUCGUAUAACUCCUUAUUACGCACUGCAGCAUGGGUUCUUUAAGCGCACCAGCGACGAGGGUACGAAUACUGCGUCGGCAACGGCCAACCAUAGUGCGAGUAGCAGUCCCGCUAUUACUGGCCUUGAUAUAUCUAACAGUCAGCAUGGGUUAAAUUUUGUUAGUCGAUCCCGUGAGCUGUUCUCGGCCCACCACUAUCAACCGGAGCAACCACAACAACAAAUUAGCGCGUCUUAUGCCGGGUACUCAACCCUGUGGAAUCCGCAGACAGCUCAAUCCCCGACAACGGGACGGGCGCCACAUAACCCUCACCGCGGUCAACAGACGCAGGCCCAACAAGUGGUACCUCAACGGUACCACCAGGUGCCGCAUCAGGCUGUCCUGAACCACGGCCCGGCAUCUCUACAGACUUACACCCUCCCUAAACAACAUAACGGUAAUAACGGCGGGGGUAACCAGGGAGCACAGGUGGUACCGCAUCAGAAUGUGCGCAAACAGUCGGAUGGUACUAACCGGGAUGGGAACAGUCCCAUGGUUGGAGUUUGUCUACAGCAAAGCCCUGUUGUGAUUCAUUAAAUUUGCGUCACCGCAAUAAGAGUCAGUCAAUCGUAAUAUGCGGACGUUAGAGGCAUUUACAAUAACGCUAUCCACAAGGUUUGUAAAAAGCGGCCAACACUAUUACUCUACAUCUAUAAUUCGAUAUACCGCCAAGCCUCGGGUAAAGUUAUAAGUUAAAACUAUUAAGUUCUUGCCCAUUGACAAAUCGAGUUAUACCACAAUAAUUUUUUAAAUUCGAGCAUUUUCCACUAUUUUUUUAGUUAUAGUAGAAAAUGGAAUGAGCUAGUGAUAUAUAAGCAAAUGCAAAUAAUCGUUAACAUUAUUAACGGCAAGUUUUUAAGGAGUAAUUACGAAUAAAUAGUAUAUGUUAAUAAUUGUAAUAUAUUAUUAUGGUACUACAUAUUCUAUACAUAUUUGACUAUACUUUUGACAUUGACUGUACCAUUUAUUUGAAGUUGUCUAAUUUAUGAUAAAAUUCGGUCUUAACAGUCGUCGGUCUGCAUCAUUAAUUAGAGAACUUUGAUUUAUUUGGCUCUGGUUUUCACCCGUCUUAUUUUUGAUACGGUCUAAAAAGAAAAUAUUUUCAUACAUUUUACAAAAAUAAAAGCCAAUAACCACGUAAUACAGUAUUAAGUUGUACCUACGAAGCAUUCAAUAGCAUAUAUCCAAUGAAAUACCUCAACGCUCAGUUUUGCAGUUUUUUCUAUAAAUUGCGCGAAAAUCUUACGAAUACCAGGGCCAAAAAUACUCUAUUUAUUAGGAAAGAAUGUGUUCAUAUAUAGUUUCACGUGAACAUUUUAAAAUGGGUUAAAUUAUGAUUUAUAAAUAAUCUCAUUUACAGACAUAUGUAUCCGAUUAUAUCCGAUCAUAUAUUUACGAAUUGUACAAUAUACAUUCCGCGAAAUUUUAACAUUUUGAUUAUGCAGAUUUCUCGUCAUAUUUUAAUCCUAAAAGAAAGACAGUAAUAAUCAUUAAAAUUAUAUGAAAAGACUAUGUCUAAUCGCGCUACAACAUAUUUUGAUCUUGGAUCGUUCGUCAUAUUAAAAUUUAAAGGUUUAAUUUGGUUUAUUAGCUCAAAUUGGAUGCUAUUUUCGUAACAUUGAUAACUCAUCUAAAUUAAAAAAAAGAUGAAUAGGCAAAUUUACCGCUUUGAUUUUAAUAAAGUUUCAGAAACAGUACAAUUGAACAAAUUCUAUUUUGUGUUUUGCUCAAGCAGGUCUUAACUUUACCACGAGUUCCAAACUAAUUUGAAAUAUAUCAUGUCAAAGUUAAAAAAAUAUUUUCUUUCUGAAACAAAACUGUUAUCUCAUUACUUCAAGUGUAUAAGCCUUUGUUCUAUAAGGUCACUUUAGGGUCUUUGAGGCUAUUAGUUUAACUGAAAAUCUCCCUAUUUUUGAGCUUAUUUCAUAUAAAUUUUAAUGAAACUGUUUGUGGCUUUCUUUUAUUAGCUGCUGCUGAUCGGUUUAAAACUUGUCUUUUUAUGCUUUUUGUGUCUUUUCGUGAAAGUUCUCAAGUAUUAACUCCCAAAAAAUUCAAAUUAUGUGUUUGUAUGUUAGUCCUAUAGUUGGACCAUUGGUCCUGCAUCCAUUUUGGAUAGUAAAACUUUUUUGUGAUUUGUUGGUAUGUUGUUUUAAUCCCAUUGCAUAAGAGUUUUUAAGCUGGUUGCUCAGGAUUUUCGUCAGUAAUAACACAAUUAAACAUCUUUUUUUUAAAAUUCCCUAUAAGUUUAUUGUAAUUCAUACUUUCUAGAUAAAUCAGUCUUAAGUUCUUUAAAGCUAAUUGUGGAACCGAAAAAAUCUUGAUCUUGUGAUAAUUGUAAUAUCAGCGGUAGUUAAUGUAAGUUGCCGAUGUUCUGCUGAUUUUUAACUGUUGUUGUCUAAGGAAUUAUAUGCUUAAGUUAUGAAAUACAGUUUUGCUUCAUAAAGGAAAUUACAGAAGUUGUGAAUUUUGACACGAUCUGGUUCAAAUUAGUUUUGAACUCGUAGUAAAGUUUGAGCACAACAUUUGGAGAAUUUUUUUAUUUGGACAACAGAAACUCCUUACUACUAAUUGUGUAGUUAAAAUUUACCAGCCAAAAUUUCAAGUCUAAGAUAGAAUAGUUCAAGAAAAGUAAAAAUAGUACUUAGAAAAACCUAUAUGUGCUCAUCUUUCAUCAAACUGUUUAACAUUUUUGAAAUAUUAAUAGCUUUAAUAUAUGGUAUUUUGAAGACGUUUUCAAUAGUAACUCUAACUAACUAAAGCUGAUUUCGAAAAAUUAAAUUGUUAUAGCGCACAAAAAAGACACUAAUCAACUGAAUUAAUAUUAAUUGGUACUUUUAACUCGAAUAUUACACAUAAUUUUAUAACUACCUACCAUAUUCCAAUUCUAUAUACAACUUUACCUCUAUUCCAUUGUUAUCUUAAAACCCAAAUUAAAAUGUUCACGCAAAAUAAUCAAUAGUCUUGAAUUUGCCGUCAGAAUUGUUCAUAUUAGCAGCAAUUAGGUGCAAGAAAAUAUUAGCUUAGAAAAUGGCCUAGUUACAGAUGGCAUUAAAAUUUGGUUUGAAAUAUUACCAAAAUUAUAAUGCAAAUGGCAUAUUUUCUUUGUAUAGACAAUACAUGACGGUGAGUGGGACUCGUAACCAAUUUUAAUUUAAUAUUGUUGAGUUUUAGGUAAAGCAAAUAUUUAACGGGAUUUUUUUUUGUAAAUAACAAUUCCCGGAUACUUUUAAGUCUGUAAAACACGUUUUUAUUUAUUUUGAUUUCAUGACAUGCAAUCAUUUUCAUUUUUCUGCCGUAAAAAUUAGGUUUUUAUCGCUAUGACCGAGAGUCCAUAAAGUAGUAAAUAUAAUGAUAGUGUAAAUUUUACAUAAGCCCUUCAUCUAUAAAUUCCUAUUUGCUCUUAAAUAAAUUUACAAAGGGA